rnacentral:rRNA from 1 species
CAUGGAGGGUGAGAAUCCCGUCCGGUUGAUCAUUUGCGUUUUACGAUACGCUUUCUAAGAGUCAAGUUGUUUGGGAUUGCAGCUUAAAAUGGGAGGUAAAUUUCUCCUAAGGCUAAAUAACGGCGAGAGACCGAUAGCGAACAAGUACCGUGAGGGAAAGAUGAAAAGAACUUUGAAAAGAGAGUUAAACAGUACGUGAAAUUGUUGAAAGGGAAACGAUUGAAGCCAGUCGUACCUUCGGGUAAUCAGCCUUUCGGGUGCGAUUCUGUGGAGUGUGAGGAGCUUAAACACCUUCAUGUUUUGCAUAUUCGUACUCUUGGGUGUACUUGCCCGUGUGGUUGGUUAACAUCAAUUUUGGUGGUCAUAAAAUGACUGGAGGAAUGUAGCUUCGAUCUUGUAUUGAAGUGUUAUAGCCUUCGGUAGAUGUGAUGAUCGAGAUUGAGGAUUGCAACGGAUACCCUUCGGGGCUACCUGUCUGGUCUCUGAUCGUUGCUCUGGUGCCGAAAGCUUGCUUACGGUUAUCAAAGUCGAUGGUCAAUAGGUUAGAACGGGUUAAAUUCGUUAAGGAUGUUGACGUAAUGG